AUGGAAUGGAGCUGGGUCAUCCUCUAUUUCCUGUCAGUAACUACAGGUGUCCACUCUCAGGUCCAGCUGCAGCAGUCUGGGGUUGAGCUGGGAAGACCUGGGUUUUCAGUGAAGUUGUCCUGCAAGGCUUCUGGCUACAGCUUCACCAGCUACUAUAUGUACUGGGUGAAGCAGAGUUCUGGACAAGGUCUGGAGUGGAUUGGAUGGAUUUAUCCUGAAAAUGGUGGUACUGGCUACAAUCAGAAGUUCAAGGGCAAGGUCACACUGACUGCAGACAAAUCCUCCAGUACAGCCUACAUGGAGCUCAGCAGCCUGAUAUCUGAGGACACUGCGGUCUAUUACUGUGCGAGACACACAGUGCUGCAACCACAUCCUGAGUGUGUCAGAAACUCUGUAGGAGCAGGAAGCUGCCCUGGGACUGAGAUGAAAGGGAAGAUUGAUCUGAAGAGUUGUUCAGAAAUAAUCAUUUUGAGCAUUCAUUUUUCUGCCUCCUCCCUGUACUAUAUUGCCCUUGUCAACUUUAUAAAAGGACAUCUAUGA